UCUCAGGGGAUUGUUUCUCCCACUGAGGUUGGUCUAAUAAAAUAUUUUACCUCAUCCAUCUUAUCUCUCUAAUGUUCUGGGACCAACACGGCCACAACACUGC